rnacentral:misc_RNA from 1 species
GAAUAACUUAAAUUGCCAAACUUGUAAUCAUGGCAAAGAAACCCACAGAUCUUCCAUCACAAGAUCCAGCUCAGUUGCCAGCAAUUACAAUUGCAAUCAAUAAGAAAACUAAAAGAUAGGCUGGUUACAUCUACCUAGGAGCAAAUUUGAUUGAAUAAAUCCUCAAACAUUCUAUUAUUUCCUCUGUUAUUGCUAAUACAAUAUUGCCAACAAUCCAAUUGCCUUACAAGAGUAAAAGAAGGCCUCAGCAUUAUACAACAACAACAACCAGCAAGUGUGCUAAUUAAUGAUACAGAUGCAAAUCAGAUCUAGAAACAUUAUCCACUGGCAUUAUCAGCAGAAAGAUCAUUCUCAUCAUCAUCACCCUGCCGAAUUUUAGCUAUUUCAGCCUGUGCUCUCUCCAUUAUCUGUCUUUUCUGCAUUUCUAAAUCCCUAUGGAAAUCCAUCCUCAUCUUCUCUAGUUCCAACAUCUGCUGCCUUUUAUUAUUCUCGAUCUUCUCAUAUAUCUCACUAAAUUUCUGAAUAGAAUCUGCCACUGCCAGCAAUCUAAAUGAGGAUCUUUCACUGCGGUCCCUUCCAGACUUUCUCUUCUUUGGUGGAAGUCCAUCUGAAUCAUCCUCUGCCUCAUCAGCUGAUUCUGAAUUGCCUGGACUAUCCCUCAUCUCAUCCAACGCAUUUGCACGGUUUAGGUAUACUCUAGGGUUCAUGAACACAUACUCUCCUGAGUCCACCCCACAUGAGAGCCCGCCUUGCUGUGCAGAUGUUGACAUUAGCAUAUCCAUCUUCUUGAAAUAAACCCAUUUGCUACUAUUGCCACCUGUCUCUGCUAGACUAAUCUUCUCCUUUUUGUACUUCUUUUUCAAUGUAUCCAAACGAUUCCUACAUUGCGUGUCUGUUCUCUCAAUCUUUGAUACCUCUGAUACCUUCUCUGCAACUUCUUGCCAUUCCUCAGAACGAAGACUCUUCCUCCCACGUUGCAAAAAUUUAUCACCCCAAGCAUCCAGCAAAACAAAAGUUUCAUGCUCAGUCCAAUCAGUAAGUGGAUUACGCCCAGCAAAUGAGGGUUUUGGAGCUGAUGAGGUUGUAACAGGAGGUGCCGGGACACGAGGAGCAAAUUCAUAGCUUGAAACUAAGCUUUUUAGCUUUCGUUUUUUAGGAUGCUUUUCCAAGUCAACAUCAUCAAUCCUCCUGCUAUAAUUCUUUUGAUUGCCCUCCUCAUCCUCUUCUUCUUCUUUCCCAAUCUCUCAAUUUAAAGAUCUAAGCAUUUAUGAAGUUGAAGAUUUAGAAUUUCUGCCAGAGUUGCUGUUUAACCUCACUUCUCUCCGAAGUCUGACUAUUCGCAAUUGCCGACAAUUAACAACUCUGUCACGUGAUGAGAAUGAUAAAGGAAUGCAAUGGCAAGGCCUUCAAAACCUCCGUUCUCUAAGAUUACUUGAUAAUCGAAGCUUGGUGUCUCUCCCAAAGGGACUUCAGUAUGCUACCACUCUGCAUCGUCUCAAUAUCGAUGAUUGUCCUAAUUUGAUGUCUUUAGCAGAGGGGAUGGACAACCUUACCGAAUUACAAAGUUUGCUCAUAGGGAAUUGUCCCCUUCUAGCAGCAAAAUGUGAAAAGAAUGUUGGGGAGGAUUGGCCCAAGGUUGCUCACAUCCCAAAUAUUUAUAUCAAUGGCAAAGAAAUUCAACGGAAUCUUUGAUUAGAAAAAUCCUGUGCACUUUCCCUGGAUGUGGAGAAACUUCAACUUGCAGUCAGUCUUCUACAACUUAAUAUUUUCAUUAACUCAAGAGGAAUUGCAUACAAAACCAGCAUCAGUUCUAGCUCUUCAAUUUUUUGUUUUUGUGACUUGUUGUGCAGGUUGUUUGGGUUGGGUUUCAAAAAGAUGCAAGGAGAAAAAACAGGAUUGGCAGACAAUUCUAACUUAAUGCUCAUGUCCCCAUGCUUGUGUAUGGUUUCAGAAGUAUCAACAAACCAGUGUUGUAUGGAUUUGCCAUUUUUCUAGUCUGAUAAAUAUCACACUUCGAUAUAAGAAUACAGAUGACUCUGGAUU